GAUGAAGAACGUAGCGAAAUGCGAUAAGUAAUGUGAAUUGCAGAAUUCAGUGAAUCAUCGAAUCUUUGAACGCACAUUGCGCCCGCCAGUAUUCUAGCGGGCAUGCCUGUUCGAGCGUCAUUACAACCCUCAGGCCCCCGGGCCUGGCGUUGGGGAUCGGCGGAGCCCCCCGUGGGCACACGCCGUCCCCCAAAUACAGUGGCGGUCCCGCCGCAGCUUCCAUCGCGUAGUAGCUAACACCUCGCGACUGGAGAGCGGCGCGGCCACGCCGUAAAACACCCAACUCUUCUGAAGUUGACCUCGAAUCAGGUAGGAAUACCCGCUGAACUUAAGCAUAUCAAUAAGCGGAGGA
rnacentral:misc_RNA from 1 species